UACGGGGGGGGGCAAGCGUUGUUCGGAAUUACUGGGCGUAAAGGGCUCGUAGGCGGCCAACUAAGUCGGACGUGAAAUCCCUCGGCUUAACCGGGGAACUGCGUCCGAUACUGGAUGGCUUGAGUUCGGGAGAGGGAUGCGGAAUUCCAGGUGUAGCGGUGAAAUGCGUAGAUAUCUGGAGGAACACCGGUGGCGAAGGCGGCAUCCUGGACCGACACUGACGCUGAGGAGCGAAAGCCAGGGGAGCAAACGGGG
rnacentral:rRNA from 1 species